rnacentral:rRNA from 1 species
AUUGAACGCUGGCGGCAUGCUUUACACAUGCAAGUCGAACGGUAACAGGUCUUCGGAUGCUGGCGAGUGGCGAACGGGUGAGUAAUGCAUCGGAACGUGCCCAGUCGUGGGGGAUAACGCAGCGAAAGCUGUGCUAAUACCGCAUACGAUCUAUGGAUGAAAGCGGGGGACCGUAAGGCCUCGCGCGAUUGGAGCGGCCGAUGUCAGAUUAGGUAGUUGGUGGGGUAAAGGCCCACCAAGCCAACGAUCUGUAGCUGGUCUGAGAGGACGACCAGCCAAACUGGGACGGAGACACGGCCCAGACUCCUACGGGAGGCAGCAGUGGGGAAUUUUGGACAAUGGGCGCAAGCCUUAUCCAGCAAUGCCGCGUGCAGGAAGAAGGCCUUCGGGUUGUAAACUGCUUUUGUACGGAACGAAACGGUCUGGGUUAAUACCCUGGGCUAAUGACGGUACCGUAAGAAUAAGCACCGGCUAACUACGUGCCAGCCGCCGCGGUAA